AUUGAACGCUGGCGGCAGGCCUAACACUGCAAGUCGAGCGGAUGAAAGGAGCUUGCUCCUGGAUUCAGCGGCGGACGGGUGAGUAAUGCCUAGGAAUCUGCCUGGUAGUGGGGGACAACGUUUCGAAAGGAACGCUAAUACCGCAUACGUCCUACGGGAGAAAGCAGGGGACCUUCGGGCCUUGCGCUAUCAGAUGAGCCUAGGUCGGAUUAGCUAGUUGGUGAGGUAAUGGCUCACCAAGGCGACGAUCCGUAACUGGUCUGAGAGGAUGAUCAGUCACACUGGAACUGAGAUACGGUCCAGACUCCUACGGGAGGCAGCAGUGGGGAAUAUUGGACAAUGGGCGAAAGCCUGAUCCAGCCAUGCCGCGUGUGUGAAGAAGGUCUUCGGAUUGUAAAGCACUUUAAGUUGGGAGGAAGGGUUGUAGAUUAAUACUCUGCAAUUUUGACGUUACCGACAGAAUAAGCACCGGCUAACUCUGUGCCAGCAGCCGCGGUAAUACAGAGGGUGCAAGCGUUAAUCGGAAUUACUGGGCGUAAAGCGCGCGUAGGUGGUUUGUUAAGUUGGAUGUGAAAUCCCCGGGCUCAACCUGGGAACUGCAUCCAAAACUGGCAAGCUAGAGUAUGGUAGAGGGUGGUGGAAUUUCCUGUGUAGCGGUGAAAUGCGUAGAUAUAGGAAGGAACACCAGUGGCGAAGGCGACCACCUGGACUGAUACUGACACUGAGGUGCGAAAGCGUGGGGAGCAAACAGG
rnacentral:rRNA from 1 species